rnacentral:rRNA from 1 species
UACGGAGGAUGCAAGCGUUAUCCGGAAUGAUUGGGCGUAAAGCGUCCGCAGGUGGCUAUGUAAGUCUGCUGUUAAGGAGUCUAGCUCAACUAGAUAAGAGCAGUGGAAACUACAAGGCUAGAGUACGUUCGGGGCAGAGGGAAUUCCUGGUGUAGCGGUGAAAUGCGUAGAUAUUGGGAAGAACACCGGUGGCGAAAGCGCUCUGCUGGACCUGCACUGACACUGAGGGACGAAAGCUAGGGGAGCGAAAGGG